rnacentral:rRNA from 1 species
GACAGAGGUGCCGAGCGUUAGGCGGAAUCACUGGGCUUAAAGCGUGUGUAGGCGGAUCGUUAAGUACCUUGUGAAAUCCCACGGCUCAACCGUGGAACUGCUGGGUAUACUGGCGAUCUUGAGCCACCUAGGGGCGAGCGGAACAAGCGGUGGAGCGGUGAAAUGCGUAGAUAUCGCUUGGAACGCCGACGGUGAAAACAGCUCGCUGGGGGUGUGCUGACGCUGAGACACGAAGGCCAGGGGAGGCGAACGGG